rnacentral:rRNA from 1 species
UACAGAGGAGCCAAGCGUUGUCCGGAUUGACUGGGCGUAAAGCGCACGCAGGCGGUCUGGCGCGUGGGGUGUGAAAUCUGGCCGCUUAACGGCCAGGCGCAUCCCAUACGGCCGGACUGGAGCCUUGCAGAGGUCGGUGGAAUUGCCGGUGUAGUGGUGAAAUGCGUAGAGAUCGGCAGGAACACCCAGGGGAAACCGAGCCGACUGG